rnacentral:tRNA from 1 species
UGACCGGGGUGGGCUGCGGGUCGUGCCCGGCCCGGUCGUGCCGCGCGCGGUCUGGCCCGGCCGGGUCGUGCCCGGCCCGGUCGG